rfam:Oryza glumipatula chromosome 7, whole genome shotgun sequence.
AAUAAGCGUCGUCAUGAGUUUCUGUGUCCAAAUUUGAUCGUUCGUCUUAUUUUAAUUUUUUUUAUGAUUAGUAUUUUAUCGUUAUUAGAUUAUAAAACAUGAAUUGUACUUUAUGCGUGACUUAUAUUUUUUUUAGCUUUCCUUUUAAAAAAUAAAAAAGACAGACGAUUAAAGUUGGACACGAAAACUCAUGUGUACGUUUAUU